CUUAAGUCUUCAUCUCCACAAGCCCUGAUUCUUGCGCAGAAAUACUGAAUAAGGGAAAGUAAAGCAGAUUCCGCAAUUGCCAUCCACAGAUUGUUUCAGCCACGCAGAAAAAUGUAUGACUAUGAAGGGGAAAGGAACGAAAAGGGAAUCUUCAUCCUCCAAUUUGGAUUCUCAGGAACCCAGAAUAAACAUCAAGUCCAUCCUGAAAGAUGUUGAAUUUUUGGGUGAAGCUCUUCUGAAUCGCUGGAGCUGCAAGUCGCGUAGCCAUUUUUCUAGUGCUUUAGAGAUUGAGCUUCUCUCAGUUUUUUGUUGCAGAUGAUGAUUGUUCUAGAAGAUUGCAGAGGGAAAUGGAAUUCAAGAAAGAAACAGUUGCAGUGACGAUGAGAGAGAGAGUGUGUGUGAUGAUUAUCCAAAGUGGAGUGAUGGGUGACACGUGGUAUUGGAUUUUGGCGGGCAGUGUAAUGGGCCGAAGAUUUGAGGCCCACUCUUUAAGAAGAUUUGAGGCCCACUCUUUAAUGAAAUGGUUAAGCCUUGUGUUGGAUGUAUGUGCAAUUUAAAAUUCUUAAGAAUAUUAA